GCCAGAAUGGUGUAGUGGUUUGAGUGUUGGACUAUGAUUUUGGAGGCCAGGGUUCAAAACCCCGCUCAGACA
rnacentral:tRNA from 1 species